rnacentral:rRNA from 1 species
GUUGAACGCUGGCGGCAUGCCUAACACAUGCAAGUCGAUCGGUAAGGCGCUUCGGAGUACACGAGAGGCGGACGGCGGAGUAACGCGUAGGAAAACACCCCGCAGGGAGGGAUAAGACACCGAAAGGGGUGCUAAUACCGCACACGGGCUCCGGAUUAAAGCAUUUAUGCGCUGAAGGAGUGGCCUGCGUCCUAUUAGAUAGUUGGUGAGGUAAUGGCUCACCAAGUCGAUGAUGUGUAGCCGGUCUGAGAGGACGAUCAGCGAGACUGGAACUGGGACACGGUCCAGACUCCUGCGGGAGGCAGCAGUGAGGAAUAUUGCAAAAUGGGCGGAAGGUAGAAGGAGCAAUGCCGCGUGCAGGAUUAAGGCCGUCGGGUUGUAAACUGCUUUUAUAAGAGAAGAUUAUGACGGUAACGUAUGAAUAAGGAACGGCUAACUACGUG